rnacentral:rRNA from 1 species
GAUGAACGCUGGCGGCGUGCUUAACACAUGCAAGUCGAACGGAAAGGCCGAAGCUUGCUUCGGUACUCGAGUGGCGAACGGGUGAGUAACACGUGGGUGAUCUGCCCUGUACUUCGGGAUAGGCUUGGGAAACGGGGUCUAAUACCGGAUAUGAGCUGCGCUGGCAUGUUGUGUUGCAAGACUUUACUGUGUUGGGGAAGGCGCCGGCCUACUAGCUUGUUGGUGGGGUGAUGGCCUACCAAGGCGGCGACGGGUAGGCGGCCUGAGAGGGGGUUAGGCGACACUGGGACUGAGAUACGGCGCAGACUCCUACGGGAGGCAGCAGUGGGGAAUAUUGCGCAAUAGGCGCAAGACUGAUGCAGAGCAGCCGCGUGGGGGAUGACGGGCUUCGGGUUGUAUACUCCUUUCGCAAUCGACGAAGCCUUUUGGUGACGGUAGGUUGAGAAGAAGCACCGGCUAACUACGUG